rnacentral:lncRNA from 1 species
CCGGAACCUGAGGGAUCGGAAUCCUGGUCCACUCCGCAGAGGCCCGAGUGGGCUCGCGAGGGAACCGGUUCUCCGAGUCUGGCCGGAUACAGCAAGAAAGCAGCAUCUGCAAGAAAGCCCUCACCAGGACCAAAUCAGCUGACACCUCAACCUUGGACUACCCAGCUUCCCGAACUGUGAGAUGUUUCAGCACAAGGAAGUUCUCCUGGC